rnacentral:misc_RNA from 1 species
GAUGAAGAACGCAGUGAAAUGCGAUAAGUAAUGUGAAUUGCAGAAUUCAGUGAAUCAUCGAAUCUUUGAACGCACAUUGCGCCCCCUGGUAUUCCGGGGGGCAUGCCUGUUCGAGCGUCAUUACAACCCUCAAGCUCUGCUUGGUGUUGGGCCCCGCCGCCCCGGCGGGCCCUAAAGUCAGUGGCGGUGCCAUCCGGCUCCGAGCGUAGUAAUUCUUCUCGCUCUGGAGGCCCGGGUGUGUGCUCGCCAGCAACCCCCAAUUUUUUUCAGGUUGACCUCGGAUCAGGUAGGGAUACCCGCUGAACUUAAGCAUAUCAAUAAGCGGAGGA